rnacentral:rRNA from 1 species
CUACGGGCUGCUCCAGUGGGGAAUUUUGGACAAUGGACGCAAGUCUGAUCCAGCCAUGCCGCGUGCGGGAAGAAGGCCUUCGGGUUGUAAACCGCUUUUGUCAGGGAAGAAAUCUUCUGGGUUAAUACCUCGGGAGGAUGACGGUACCUGAAGAAUAAGCACCGGCUAACUACGUGCCAGCAGCCGCGGUAAUACGUAGGGUGCAAGCGUUAAUCGGAAUUACUGGGCGUAAAGCGUGCGCAGGCGGUUUUGUAAGACAGAGGUGAAAUCCCCGGGCUCAACCUGGGAACUGCCUUUGUGACUGCAAGGCGUGAGUGCGGCAGAGGGGGAUGGAAUUCCGCGUGUAGCAGUGAAAUGCGUAGAUAUGCGGAGGAACACCGAUGGCGAAGGCAAUCCCCUGGGCCUGCACUGACGCUCAUGCACGAAAGCGUGGGGAGCAAACAGGAUUAGAUACCCGGGUAGUC